rnacentral:rRNA from 1 species
AGAUUGAACGCUGGCGGCAGGCCUAACACAUGCAAGUCGAGCGGCAGCACGGGUACUUGUACCUGGUGGCGAGCGGCGGACGGGUGAGUAAUGCCUAGGAAUCUGCCUGAUAGUGGGGGAUAACGCUCGGAAACGGACGCUAAUACCGCAUACGUCCUACGGGAGAAAGCAGGGGACCUUCGGGCCUUGCGCUAUCAGAUGAGCCUAGGUCGGAUUAGCUAGUUGGUGAGGUAAUGGCUCACCAAGGCGACGAUCCGUAACUGGUCUGAGAGGAUGAUCAGUCACACUGGAACUGAGACACGGUCCAGACUCCUACGGGAGCAGCAGGUGGGGAAUAUUGGACAAUGGG